UCACCCCUCAAGCCCCUCGGCUUGGUGUUGGACGGCUUGGUGGACACUUCUCUGUUCACCCCUCCCAAAGACAAUGACGGCGGCCUCGUUGGACCCCCGGUACACUGAGUUCCUUACCGAACACGUACUGGACAAAGGGCCCACGGGACACGGUCUGCCUCCCCUUAGGGAGAACUUUUCUUAA
rnacentral:misc_RNA from 1 species